rnacentral:rRNA from 1 species
CCUACGGGGGCAGCAGUGGGGAAUAUUGCGCAAUGGGCGAAAGCCUGACGCAGCAACGCCGCGUGGGGGAUGAAGGCCUUCGGGUUGUAAACCUCUUUCAGCAGGGAAGAAGCGAAAGUGACGGUACCUGCAGAAGAAGCACCGGCUAACUACGUGCCAGCAGCCGCGGUAAUACGUAGGGUGCAAGCGUUGUCCGGAUUUAUUGGGCGUAAAGAGCUCGUAGGCGGUUAGUCACGUCGGAUGUGAAAUCCCGGAGCUUAACUCCGGGCCUGCAUUCGAUACGGGCUGACUCGAGUGUUGUAGGGGAGACUGGAACUCCUGGUGUAGCGGUGAAAUGCGCAGAUAUCAGGAAGAACACCGGUGGCGAAGGCGGGUCUCUGGGCAACUACUGACGCUGAGGAGCGAAAGCGUGGGGAGCAAACAGGAUUAGAUACCCUGGUAGUCCACGCCGUAAACGGUGGGCGCUAGGUGUGGGGAACAUUCCACGUUCUCUGCGCCGCAGCUAACGCAUUAAGCGCCCCGCCUGGGGAGUACGGCCGCAAGGCUAAAACUUAACAGAUAGUACGCGNGNGAGNGCGACGACGACGACGAGGAGGAGG